UACAGAGGUCUCAAGCGUUGUUCGGAUUUACUGGGCGUAAAGGGCGCGUAGGCGGUCGUGACAAGUCACUUGUGAAAUCUCCGGGCUUAACUCGGAACGGUCAAGUGAUACUGUCGGACUAGAGUACAGAAGGGGCAACUGGAAUUCUCGGUGUAGCGGUGAAAUGCGUAGAUAUCGAGAGGAACACCUGCGGCGAAGGCGGGUUGCUGGGCUGAUACUGACGCUGAGGCACGAAAGUGUGGGGAUCAAACAGG
rnacentral:rRNA from 1 species